CAGUGUCCCGUUACAGUAACGAAUGCUCUAGCGCGUGAUGCCUGGCUCAGUAAGUCCUAUCAAGGUUAACCCGUAUUGGAUCCCCUAACAGUUUGAUCCACGGCUCACGUAAGACUGGACAUAGCUCCCGGAAACCGGGGCUCAUACCGGAUAACAUUUUGAACCGCAUGGUUCGAAAUUGAAAGGCGGCUUCCGCUGUCACUUAUGGAUGGACCCGCGACUCAUUAACUAGUUGGUGAGGUAACGGCUCACCAUUUCAUCGAUGCCUAUCCGACCUGAGAGGGUAAUCUGCCCACUGGGACUUUGAAAAAGCCCAUACUCCAUCCGGGACCCAACUGUAUGGUAAACUUUGUACUGUAAGGUUAAAGGGGUUCCCCCCCCUUAAUGCUUGAAGGUAACGCCUUAAGCCCUCCCCCCUGGGGAAUUCGGGCGCAAGGCUUAAAAUUAAAGGAAUUGACGGGGGCCCCCCCCAAGGGGGGAACCUGGGGUUUAAUUUGGAACAAAGGGAAAAACCUUACCCGGUUCUGACCUUCUUUGGCAACCCCAAAAAAAGGGGUUUUCCUUUGGGAACAAAAUGACCGGGGGGGCCAGGUUGUUGUUAACUUGGGUUCUGAAAAGGUGGGUUAAAUUCCGCAACGAAGGCAACCCUUUAUUUUUGUUGCCAUCCAUUAAUUGGGCCCUUUAAGGGUGACGCCGGGGGCAAACCGGAGGAAGGGGGGGAAGGAGUUAAAUUCUCCUUCCCCUUUUUGCCUUGGGUACCCCACUGGUACCAAUGGCGGUUCAAAAAAGUGCCAGGACCCGAGGGGGAAGUAAUUUUAAAAAACCGUUUUCCAUUUGGAAUGUUGGGUGCCACUUGCCUACCUGGAAACGGAUUCCCCGGUAUUGGGGCUUAACAAGUUUGCUCCGAUUCCGUUACGUGGCAACAAGGUAACCCCUAUUGGAUCCUCUAGAGUUUGAUACCUGGCUCAGGAAGUCGUAACAAGGUAACCAGUAUUGGAUCCUCUAGA
rnacentral:rRNA from 2 species